rnacentral:sRNA from 1 species
AGCAGCCGCGGUAAUUCCAGCUCCAAUAGCGUAUAUUAAAGUUGUUGCAGUUAAAAAGCUCGUAGUUGAACUUCGGGGUUCACCCAUUGGUCAGGCUCAAUUGUCUGCACUGGUGAGAUGAGUCUCUACCUUCUGAGGAACUUUCAUGUCAUUAAUUUGGUGUGAUGGGAAAUCAGGACUGUUACUUUGAAAAAUUGAGUGCUUAAAGCAGGCUAACGUCUGAAUACAUUAGCAUGGAAUAAUGAAAUAGGACGGACUGAUUCUAUUUCGUUGGUUUCUAGGAUCACCGUAAUGAUUAAUAGGGAUAGUUGGGGGCAUUAGUAUUCAA